GAUGAACGCUAGCGGCAGGCCUAAUACAUGCAAGUCGAACGGGAUCCAGAUCAAAGCUUGCUUUGGUUUGGUGAGAGUGGCGCACGGGUGCGUAACGCGUGAGCAACCUACCCUUGUCAGGGGGAUAGCCCGGCGAAAGUCGGAUUAAUACUGCAUGACAUCAUUGAGAGGCAUCUUUCGAUGAUCAAAGAUUUAUCGGACAAGGAUGGGCUCGCGUGACAUUAGCUAGUUGGUAAGGUAACGGCUUACCAAGGCUACGAUGUCUAGGGGCUCUGAGAGGAGAAUCCCCCACACUGGUACUGAGACACGGACCAGACUCCUACGGGAGGCAGCAGUAAGGAAUAUUGGUCAAUGGACGGAAGUCUGAACCAGCCAUGCCGCGUGCAGGAAGACGGCCCUAUGGGUUGUAAACUGCUUUUAUACGGGAACAAACGUCGGUACGUGUACCGGUCUGAGUGUACCGUAAGAAUAAGGAUCGGCUAACUCCGUG
rnacentral:rRNA from 1 species